rfam:Trichomonas vaginalis G3, whole genome shotgun sequence.
GCACUGCUAGUGUAGUGGUUAUUAUGAGAUCCUUCCAAGCUUUUGAUCCGGGUUCGAUUCCCAGGCAGUGCA